UGCAAUAUUUACAACUGGAAUUGUUUACUAUGAAAAAAUGGUAUGAUCAAAAUGUAAUUAUGUCCCAAUCUCCACCACAGGCAGUUCCGAUACACAUCAUACAGGCAGGUUGUCCGCUGGGCGUACGGAAUACUAGGCAGGAACAUUAGGAAAGCCAUAUCUUCAAAUGUUGUGUCAGCAAUAAGGAGGCAGUUUGCAAAGGAGGGACAAACAUACAAAGGUUUCCAGUGGCCCCGCUUGGAAGACAAUUAAGAAAUCCAUAGUGAAACAAACUGUACUGGCCUGCACGAUGCUAGGGAUAGUGUAAUAGCGCUGAUGGUGAAAAAAAGUGCCGGGACUUAUGCACUGCAGUCCAAACAGCUUCAGCAUCCUGAUUGUCUGAGUAGCCAUGCAACCUGAGAAGUGGAUAGCACCGCUGAGUUGCAGGACUCGCUCAGCAUCUCCUCCCCUGGACUCCAUGACAUAUCACCAGAAUGGUUGAUGAUAUCAGAAAAUGUCCAUUCAUCAUCACUUUGUUCUCAAGCCGUUUGAGUCUCCACAUCCACCAUCUGAGUCUUUA